UGUGUAGAGUUUUACAGGAAGUGCACUAGCCGCUCUGGUGAAAGGACUUCCCGAGGCUUUACAGAGACAGUAUGAGUAUGAGGAACCCAUAGUCAGAGGUGGCAAGCAGCUGCUCCACAGUCCUUUCUUCAAGGUGUUGGUGGCACUUGCAUGUGAUCUGGAGUUGGACACUCUUCCAUGCUGUGCUGAGACACACAAAUGGGCUUGGUUCCGCCGCUAUUGUACCGCAUCCAGAGUGUUAGUGGCUCUGGACAAGAGGACUCCUUUGCCCCGCCCUUUCCUGGAUGAGGUGGCAAAGAAAGUCCGUGAGCUCAUGGCAGACCUUGAGAACAUGAACACACUCCAUGAGAGUCAUGACCUGUUUAAGAGGGAGCAGGAUGAGCAGUUAGUUCAG